CAUGCAAGUCGAGCGGAUGAAGGGAGCUUGCUCCUGGAUUCAGCGGCGGACGGGUGAGUAAUGCCUAGGAAUCUGCCUGGUAGUGGGGGAUAACGUCCGGAAACGGGCGCUAAUACCGCAUACGUCCUGAGGGAGAAAGUGGGGGAUCUUCGGACCUCACGCUAUCAGAUGAGCCUAGGUCGGAUUAGCUAGUUGGUGGGGUAAAGGCCUACCAAGGCGACGAUCCGUAACUGGUCUGAGAGGAUGAUCAGUCACACUGGAACUGAGACACGGUCCAGACUCCUACGGGAGGCAGCAGUGGGGAAUAUUGGACAAUGGGCGAAAGCCUGAUCCAGCCAUGCCGCGUGUGUGAAGAAGGUCUUCGGAUUGUAAAGCACUUUAAGUUGGGAGGAAGGGCAGUAAGUUAAUACCUUGCUGUUUUGACGUUACCAACAGAAUAAGCACCGGCUAACUUCGUGCCAGCAGCCGCGGUAAUACGAAGGGUGCAAGCGUUAAUCGGAAUUACUGGGCGUAAAGCGCGCGUAGGUGGUUCAGCAAGUUGGAUGUGAAAUCCCCGGGCUCAACCUGGGAACUGCAUCCAAAACUACUGAGCUAGAGUACGGUAGAGGGUGGUGGAAUUU
rnacentral:rRNA from 1 species